rnacentral:rRNA from 1 species
GUGGGGAAUUUUGGACAAUGGGCGAAAGCCUGAUCCAGCAAUGCCGCGUGUGUGAAGAAGGCCUUCGGGUUGUAAAGCACUUUUGGCAGGGAAGAAACAGUGCGUGCUAAUACCAUGCGCGAAUGACGGUACCUGCAGAAUAAGCACCGGCUAACUACGUGCCAGCAGCCGCGGUAAUACGUAGGGUGCAAGCGUUAAUCGGAAUUACUGGGCGUAAAGCGUGCGCAGGCGGCUUUGUAAGACGGAUGUGAAAGCCCCGGGCUCAACCUGGGAAGUGCAUUCGUGACUGAAAGGCUAGAGUGUGGCAGAGGGAGGUGGAAUUCCGCGUGUAGCAGUGAAAUGCGUAGAGAUGCGGAGGAACACCGAUGGCGAAGGCAGCCUCCUGGGAUAACACUGACGCUCAGGCACGAAAGCGUGGGGAGCAAACAGGAUUAGAAACCCUAGUAGUCC